rnacentral:lncRNA from 1 species
CCGCGGUGUGUGUGAGUAAUAAAAAAAUAAAUACAAUUUUAAAAAUAUAAAAAUAUUACUUGUUAUCUGGGAUGGUUUUAUCAUUGUUGAUAUAAAUUUGUAUUGUUUUAUUUUAUGGUUUUACAUAUAUACCUUUGCUUACACCUCAUUACCAGGGCCGGGUCCACUUCACCUACUGUUAAAGUAUGUCAAACAUGUUUUGUUAUAAUAUAGUGUUUGUUUUGUUUACCAUUGUACAGUACUGUGGAAUAUGUUGGCACUAUAUAAAUAAUUGUAAUUGUAAUUUCAAUACCCUUACUGUAUGGAGGGGGCAAUCAUGAUAUUAUUUAUACGAAGUCUCCAGAGAAGCCUACAGAGUAGAUGUAGAUGAGGUACUCCAUUCCUUCUGGAUCACUAGUCCUUAAGCAAACCAACAAGUUAAAGGGGCUUAAAACACAUAUCUUGUUGAAAAGGGAGGGAAUUCUGUAAGAUGGGAAGGAGAGGAUAGCUUGGAAAUAUGGACCUUGUCUGCAAAUAAGAGGGUGAUUUGCAUUAAGGAGGAUUUAGCCGAUGAUGCAAAAUAUAGUGGGAGCCAUAAAUAGGAGGAACACAAAUAAAACCCAAAGUCAAAGAUGGGGAACAAGCAGUUAAUUGGUUGUCAGUUACAUGUGGUAGCAGGGGGAUGGGAAGAGGAAAGGUAUGGCUAUUCCUGCAUUUGUGCAGCCUAACAGAUUGCUUGUUCGAGUAAAGAUGUUGCGAGCAUCAGCUCAAGAAUAGCUGCACUGGAGGAAGCUGUUCCUUCUAUCAGCUGGGGAACAGCUCCUUUAGUACAGCCAGGAGGAUUGGGAAUGUAAGAAGGGCUAUACUGGCUGUGAUGGUAGGGGACUCUAUUAUUAGGCGAGAAGACUGGGUGAUCUGCUCCUCUGAUUAUCUCAGCUGGAUAGUUUGCAGGUCUGGCAUGUUGCUGACAGAAUAGACAGAUUAUUGCAGUGGUGGAACUAAUGUAGAUAGGGCCCUGGUGCAAAAAAAAAAAAUGUUGGGUCCCCAUCUAGCUGCAUAGAGUAUGUGUGUGCCUGUAGGAGUGUAAAUGUGUGUACUGUUGCCAUUGGAAUGUAGCGGUGUACUUGUGUGUAGUGUGUGUUUUGAAUGCAUUGGUGUGCUUCUAUGUAGUGUUGGCUUUUAAAUACAGGUGUGCUUUUGUUUGUAGAGUUGGUGAUUGUAUAUAAUUUUAGUAUCUUAAUACAGUGAGUGUGUUUUAUGUAAUGAUUGCAUUUGCAUGCAGAGGUGUGUUUGGAUGUAGUGUUGUAUUUUGAGGAUACAAAAACUGACACAUACAUGCACAGACAGAAAGAUGCACACACUGACCCAUACACACACCUUGACGUAGAACACAAGGUCACACAGUUACAACUGAAGAAAGAACAAUAAGGAUGUGGAAUUCUUUACCUGAAGAGGUGGUUUUAUCAGAGUUUGUACAGAUAUUUAUACUGCAAUUGGAUUAAUACUUACAAUAUUCAGGGAUAUCAUUUUUAAGAGGUGGCAUAACAGCUUUUUUUUUUUUCAAGGAGAAAUCUGACUGCCAUUCUUUGGUCCAGAAGAGAAUUUUUCCUCAUUUGUUACAUGAUUGGAAGUGUUUAAAACUGGGGUUUUUUGCCUUCUUUUCGAUCAACAGUAAAAACAGAUGUGUGACAUGCUGAACUUGAUGGACACGUGUCUCUUUUCAGCCUAUGCAACUAUGUAAUUAUAUCUUUAUUUAAUUUCCAUUCUGUCUCUAUAUCUGCCACCAAAGUGUGAUCUGGCAACAUUUUAACUAUGGAUAAAUAUUUGUAAAAGCGUAAAUAAAGGCUUGACUAGAAUCAAACCAUUACCUGGUCACCCUAGGUGGCUAAAAUAAACAUUGGGAAUUCUAAAAAGAGUUUGAUAUUUAUUCAUGCAGAUGAUUGAGGAAUAUUAAAAUGGCAAGUCCUCAGAGGCUCUCAACAUGUAUUGAAAGCAUUGGUUAAUGAAGAUGAAUAACAAAUCAGCACAAUGUUAUCCUUCAUGCGUAAAGCUAGUUACUAAUCAUAGCUAAGAUGUAUUACUGCCCUUUCAGGAAACUAAGUGCUAUUGCAAUUAUUUGAUUAAAGAUUAUACAGAGUCCUGGCAAAUGAAUCAGUUUACUUUAUUUUUAUUAACACAUUAUCUGCAAUAAAUGAAUCUUCUCUGUGCUUGCUUCCAUUUAUUUUAUUUUCAGAUUUAAUGACAGCAAAAUGCAGACUGAAUUAUUUCAUGUCAUUAUAUUACAUUGUUUUCUAGAAUAUAUAUUUUUAGUAAG